GGAAGUAAAAGACGUAACAAGGUCUCCGUUGGUGAACCAGCGGAGGGAUCAUUACCGAGUUAUCAACUCCCAAACCCCUGUGAACAUACCCAACGUUGCUUCGGCGGGACCGCCCCGGCGCCCUCGGCGUCCCGGAACCAGGCGCCCGCCGGAGGACCCAAACUCUUGUUUAAACCAUAGUGGCAUAUUCUGAGUCUCACAAGAAAAAUGAAUCAAAACUUUCAACAACGGAUCUCUUGGCUCUG
rnacentral:misc_RNA from 1 species